rnacentral:rRNA from 1 species
UCUAAUACCGGAUACGAGCCGGGGAGGCAUCUCCCUGGUUGGAAAGCUCCGGCGGUGCAGGAUGAGCCCGCGGCCUAUCAGCUUGUUGGUGAGGUAACGGCUCACCAAGGCGACGACGGG